rnacentral:rRNA from 1 species
AGAGUUUGAUCCUGGCUCAGGAUGAACGCUGGCGGCGUGCCUAAUACAUGCAAGUCGAACGCUUCACUUCGGUGAAGAGUGGCGAACGGGUGAGUAAUACAUAAGUAACCUGGCAUCUACAGGGGGAUAACUGAUGGAAACGUCAGCUAAGACCGCAUAGGUGUAGAGAUCGCAUGAACUCUAUAUGAAAAGUGCUACGGGACUGGUAGAUGAUGGACUUAUGGCGCAUUAGCUUGUUGGUAGGGUAACGGCCUACCAAGGCGACGAUGCGUAGCCGACCUGAGAGGGUGACCGGCCACACUGGGACUGAGACACGGCCCAGACUCCUUCGGGAGGCAGCAGUAGGGAAUUUUCGGCAAUGGGGGAAACCCUGACCGAGCAACGCCGCGUGAAGGAAGAAGUAAUUCGUUAUGUAAACUUCUGCCCUAGAGGAAGAACGGUGGAUAUAGGGAAUGAUAUCCAAGUGACGGUACUCUAUAAGAAAGCCACGGCUAACUACGUGCCAGCAGCCGCGGUAAUACGUAGGUGGCGAGCGUUAUCCGGAAUUAUUGGGCGGAAAGAGGGAGCAGGCGGCACUAAGGGUCUGUGGUGAAAGAUCGAAGCUUAACUUCGGUAAGCCAUGGAAACCGUAGAGCUAGAGUGUGUGAGAGGAUCGUGGAAUUCCAUGUGUAGCGGUGAAAUGCGUAGAUAUAUGGAGGAACACCAGUGGCGAAGGCGUCGAUCUGGCGCAUAACUGACGCUCAGUCCCGAAAGCGUGGGGAACAAAUAGGAUUAGAUACCCUAGUAGUCCACGCCGUAAACGAU